CUGAGAGAAGAGGAUUCUGGGGAAUAUCUCUUUAAGCGUAUCAGACUAUCUGGGCCCCUUCGGCCAAAAACGAUACAACUACACAUUUAUGAGAGGAUUGUUUCUGUGCAGGUAACCUCCCAGGUGAAUAACAGCACAGACGGCAGCAGCUGUAACGUGACCCUGAGUUGCAGUGUGAUUGGAGGCAGCCAGGUGGUGCUGUCCUGGAGCAGAAAUGGAGAGAACAUUGCUGGAGCGGAGAACAGAACUACGCUGACUGUAUCCCCCACUCGUGCAGAAGAGGACUACACCUGUACGGCCAUUAACCCCAUCAGCUCACUAAGCAACACAACCAGGCCCUGCCAAACAGGUCAGUCUCUGAUUAGCUCAGA